GUGGGAAACCUGCCCAGAAGUGGGGGAUAACACCUGGAAACAGAUGCUAAUACCGCAUAAUAGCUUGAACCGCAUGGUUCGAGUUUGAAAGAUGGCUUCGGCUAUCACUUUUGGAUGGUCCCGCGGCGUAUUAGCUAGAUGGUGAGGUAACGGCUCACCAUGGCAAUGAUACGUAGCCGACCUGAGAGGGUAAUCGGCCACAUUGGGACUGAGACACGGCCCAAACUCCUACGGGAGGCAGCAGUAGGGAAUCUUCCACAAUGGACGAAAGUCUGAUGGAGCAACGCCGCGUGAGUGAAGAAGGGUUUCGGCUCGUAAAGCUCUGUUGUUAAAGAAGAACAUAUCUGAGAGUAACUGUUCAGGUAUUGACGGUAUUUAACCAGAAAGCCACGGCUAACUACGUGCCAGCAGCCGCGGUAAUACGUAGGUGGCAAGCGUUAUCCGGAUUUAUUGGGCGUAAAGCGAGCGCAGGCGGUUUUUUAAGUCUGAUGUGAAAGCCUUCGGCUCAACCGAAGAAGUGCAUCGGAAACUGGGAAACUUGAGUGCAGAAGAGGACAGUGGAACUCCAUGUGUAGCGGUGAAAUGCGUAGAUAUAUGGAAGAACACCAGUGGCGAAGGCGGCUGUCUGGUCUGUAACUGACGCUGAGGCUCGAAAGUAUGGGUAGCAAACAGGAUUAGAUACCCUGGUAGUCCAUACCGUAAACGAUGAAUGCUAAGUGUUGGAGGGUUUCCGCCCUUCAGUGCUGCAGCUAACGCAUUAAGCAUUCCGCCUGGGGAGUACGGUCGCAAGACUGAAACUCAAAGGAAUUGACGGGGGCCCGCACAAGCGGUGGAGCAUGUGGUUUAAUUCGAAGCUACGCGAAGAACCUUACCAGGUCUUGACAUACUAUGCAAAUCUAAGAGAUUAGACGUUCCCUUCGGGGACAUGGAUACAGGUGGUGCAUGGUUGUCGUCAGCUCGUGUCGUGAGAUGUUGGGUUAAGUCCCGCAACGAGCGCAACCCUUAUUAUCAGUUGCCAGCAUUAAGUUGGGCACUCUGGUGAGACUGCCGGUGACAAACCGGAGGAAGGUGGGGAUGACGUCAAAUCAUCAUGCCCCUUAUGACCUGGGCUACACACGUGCUACAAUGGAUGGUACAACGAGUUGCGAACUCGCGAGAGUAAGCUAAUCUCUU
rnacentral:rRNA from 1 species